AGUGGAUGGGGAGCAACCUAGUUGUGCGUGUGUAAAGGUAGUGCCAAGAAAAGCGAUGAUCAUGUUGAAAAUCAAUUCCCGGUACCCGAAACCGACACAGGUGGGCAAGUAGAGAAUACUAAGGGGCGCGAGGUAACUCUCUCCAAGGAACUCGGCAAAAUGACCCCGUAACUUAGGGAGAAGGGGUGCCACCGAGAGGUGGUCGCAGUGAAGAGGCCCAGGCGACUGUUUAGCAAAAACAUAGGUCUCUGCAAACUCGAAAGAGGAGGUAUAGGGGCUGACGCCUGCCCAGUGCCGGAAGGUUAAAGAAGUUGGUCAGUUUUAGGAUGAAGCUAGCGACUGAAGCCCCGGUGAACGGCGGCCGUAACUAUAACGGUCCUAAGGUAGCGAAAUUCCUUGUCGGGCAAGUUCCGACCCGCACGAAAGGCGUAACGAUCUGGGCGCUGUCUCGGAGAGAGGCUCGGCGAAAUAGGAUUGUCUGUGAAGAUACGGACUACCUGCAUUUGGACAGAAAGACCCUAUGAAGCUUUACUAUAGCUUGGAAUUGUGUUCGGGCUUCCUGUGCGCAGGAUAGGUGGGAGGCGUAGAAGGUAUUCUUGUGGGGAUACUGGAGCCAACGGUGAGAUACCACUCUCAGGAGGCUAGAAUUCUAACUUAAUUAAGGACAGUUUCAGGUGGGUAGUUUGACUGGGGCGGUCGCCUCCAAAAAGGUAACGGAGGCGUACAAAGGUUCCCUCAGACUGGUUGGAAAUCAGUCGAAGAGUGCAAAGGCAGAAGGGAGCUUGACUGCGAGAAGUACAGUUCGAGCAGGGUGGAAACACGGUCUUAGUGAUCCGACGGUGCUGUGUGGAAGGGCCGUCGCUCAACGGAUAAAAGUUACUCUAGGAUAACAGGCUGAUCUCCCCCAAGAGUUCACAUCGACGGGGAGGUUUGGCACCUCGAUGUCGGCUCAUCGCAACCUGGGGCGGAAGUACGUCCCAAGGGUUGGGCUGUUCGCCCAUUAAAGCGGUACGUGAGCUGGGUUCAGAACGUCGUGAGACAGUUCGGUCCAUAUCCGAUGUAGGCGUGAGAAUAUUGAGAGGAGCCUUCCUUAGUACGAGAGGACCGGGAAGGACGCACCGCUGGUGUACCUGUUAUGAUGCCAAUUGUAAACGCAGGGUAGCCAAGUGCGGAGAGGAUAACCGCUGAAAGCAUCUAAGUGGGAAGCCCACCUCAAGAUGAGUAUUCUGGUGUAAGGUCACGGGAAGACGACCCGUAAAUAGGCACGAGGUGGAAGUGCAGAGAUGUAUGAAGCCGAAGUGUACUAAUAGACCGUCGGC
rnacentral:rRNA from 1 species